rfam:Ochotona princeps cont2.55300, whole genome shotgun sequence.
CAUGUCCCCUGCACACCCAUUUUAGCCAUUCUCUGUAAAUAUUGAUCUGCCCCCAGUUUACCUUCUCCCUGACUGGCCACUGGCAGCAGUAGGAACCGGCCUCAGCAGGGGCUUGGUUUUUGUGUUAGUUUCAGGCCCUCUCAGCUACCCGCCCACAACCGCCCCCCCCCCAAGCCUAUCCUGUCUCUAAAUAGCAUUGUAAAACUCACAGUGACAAAGAAAUCGAGUAGGGUUUGAGGCUCCAGUUCCCAGGGAUUCCAGGGCGGUUUUACCUACAGGUCAGAUACGGCUGGAGGCCAAGGUCAAGUUGAAAGUGGCAGUCUAGCCAGCGUGAGAAUUUGGCUGCAAGCUUGAAGACCAGACUCCCGCUAAAGGCUGGCCGCCCAGCUCCCCUCG